rnacentral:tRNA from 1 species
UGUGGUGCGCAAUCGGGCCCCACCGCUGCCCGUGACCCCUGGUUGUGGUCCAGGCGGUCGCGGGUUCGAGUCCCGUCGCUCA